AUUGAACGCUGGCGGCAGGCCUAACACAUGCAAGUCGAACGGUAACAGGAAGAAGCUUGCUUCUUUGCUGACGAGUGGCGGACGGGUGAGUAAUGUCUGGGAAACUGCCUGAUGGAGGGGGAUAACUACUGGAAACGGUAGCUAAUACCGCAUAACGUCGCAAGACCAAAGAGGGGGACCUUCGGGCCGCUUGCCAUCGGAUGUGCCCAGAUGGGAGUAGCUAGUAGGUGGGGUAACGGCUCACCUAGGCGACGAUCCCUAGCUGGUCUGAGAGGAUGACCGGCCACACUGGAACUGAGACACGGUCCAGACUCCUACGGGAGGCAGCAGUGGGGAAUAUUGCACAAUAGGCGAAAGCAUGAUGCAGCCAUGCCGCGUGUAUGAAGAAGGCCUUCGGGUUGUAAAGUACUUUCAGCGGGGAGGAAGGGAGUAAAGUUAAUACCUUUACUCAUUGACGUUACCCGCAGAAGAAGCACCGGCUAACUCCGUG
rnacentral:rRNA from 1 species